GAAAGGGGCUGGGCUGGGCUGGGCUGUCUGCAGCUCUAGUCCAGGAGGCUGAGACUUCGAGAGGGACUGAGGAGCAGGCACACGCAUCCCAGACUCACUGGAGGACAAGCUUUGCCAGGUGAACUUGAGACAUGUCUGACACAAGUGAGAGUGGUGCAGAUCCAGCUCGCUCUCAGGGCAAAGCUUCAGAAAAGGACAGCGGCUCCAUGAUGCAGGACCUGUUGACUGUGACCCAGAACUUGGAGGUCUCAGAGACACCAAAGGCUAAAAAGGCACCAGAGGUCUCAGAAGCUGCAAAGGUCCCCAAAGCCUCUGGGAACCCAAAGGCGACAGAGGUCUCAAAGGCCCCAGAGGCUUCGGAGGCAGCUGCCACCCAGGCCUCACCUACCACACAGCUGAGUGAGACCCAGGUUCUGGCAGCUGAAAACAAGAGUCCAGCAGCUGACACCAAGACACAGAAGGCUGACCUGCAGGCUAUGACAAUGCCUGCAACCCAGACCAAAACGGUCAGUUCUGUUACCGAUUCUAAGGUCAAUACAAAGACUCCGGAGACCGAGGCUCCUGCCUCUCAGUCUGGGGCAGAUGAACCAGAGCCUGAGGGUGCAGCUGUCCAAGUUCAGGAGAAUCAGGAUACUCGGCCCAAGGUCAAAGCCAAGAAUACCGAAAAGGUAAGAUCUCAGCCAUAACUGUCCUUGCUUCUCCACAUUCAUCUUGCUCAUUUGUCUGCCAACAUUAAAAUGAUUCCUGUGUUCCUGAAAGACACA
rnacentral:lncRNA from 1 species